AGAAGUUUGAAAAUGUUACUAUCCUUUCUGCUCUUAGUAAAAUAGUUAUUGGACUGUUACAGAAUGAUCAAAUAUUGACCUAUGCUAAUCAAGAGUUGAACGAAAGAAGUGAAGAUUCUUCUGUGUGCAGACAACCGAAACUUUUCUUGAAUUGCCUCAAGAUUACUAAUACAUUUGUUGACUUACACUUCUAAAUGGGAUACAUGUAACUGUCCUGCCUAAGUGCCCAUGAGGAUGACCCCUGUCUAUUUUAGUAAUCUAUAGGCUUUUUAUGAUAUGCAGGUUUAUGAGGUUGUCAAGUUUUCAUUUCAAUGCAAAUCCAGCUGGACAACACCAUGUCACAAAGCAGGCAUCUCACAUUAAAGGAAGAUGUUAUUCUUUUCGAGUGUGCUUCUAGAUACAGUUCAGUCUUGGCGUCAUCGAAUCAAUGAAACAUGAAGUUAGAAGCACACCGAGAUCCAGUGGCUUGUGACCCCUUGACCCUUUAGAGGAAGCGCACUAGAGUCGUUGGCAAGAAGAAGAGGAUCGCCAAGAAGAAGUCUGAGGCUGCCGAGUACCAAAAGCUUCUUGCUCAGAGGCUGAAGGAAUAGAGAGACCGCGAGAGCUUGGCCAAGAGGAGGUCCAAGCUUUCUGCCGCUUCCAAGGCUUCCGCUACCAUCGCCGCUUAAGAAUGUUCGAUGCUUUGAUAUGUUUCAAGACCUAUCUUGUUACAGCUUAAAUACCUUAUGCUACUCUGAUUGUGUUGCAACUUGCAACUGCCCCUGUACUUGAUAGAUUUGUAUUAGAUGCUCAAGCUACAGAGGGUAGGUUCCUAAUUAUGACCAUAUGACUAUGUACUAAAUUAUAUAUCUGUUGCUAAGUUAAAAUACAUACAAAAUAAGUUUACUCCGACCAUCUUGUAGAAAAACAAGUUAUA
rnacentral:lncRNA from 1 species